GACGAACGCUGGCGGCGUGCCUAAUACAUGCAAGUCGAACGGAGUGGCGCACGGGUGAGUAAUAUAUAGCUACUCUGCCCCUUGCUGGAGGACAACAGUUAGAAAUGACUGCUAAUACUCCAUAGCAAGGGAUGAGACUAUAUCGUAUCAGCUAGUCGGUGGGGUAACGGCCUACCGAGGCUAUGACGGGUAACUGGGCUGAGAGGAUGAUCAGUCACAUUUGAAGGGAGACACGGUCCGAGCGCCUACGGGAGGGAGCAGUAGGGAAUAUUGCGCAAUGGGGGAAUCCCUGACGGAGCAACGCCGCGUGGAGGAUGAUACUUUUCGGGGCGUAAACGCCUUUUGUUAGUGAAGCGGUACCUAACGAAUAAGCACCGGCUAACUCCGUGCCAGCAGCCGCGGUAAUAC
rnacentral:rRNA from 1 species